rnacentral:rRNA from 1 species
ACUAAGCGUACACGGUGGAUGCCCUGGCAGUCAGAGGCGAUGAAGGACGUGCUAAUCUGCGAUAAGCGUCGGUGAGGUGAUAUGAACCGUUAUAACCGGCGAUUUCCGAAUGGGGAAACCCAGUGUGUUUCGACACACUAUCAUUAACUGAAUCCAUAGGUUAAUGAGGCGAACCGGGGGAACUGAAACAUCUAAGUACCCCGAGGAAAAGAAAUCAACCGAGAUUCCCCCAGUAGCGGCGAGCGAACGGGGAGGAGCCCAGAGCCUGAAUCAGUGUGUGUGUUAGUGGAAGCGUCUGGAAAGGCGUGCGAUACAGGGUGACAGCCCCGUACACAAAAAUGCACAUAUUGUGAGCUCGAUGAGUAGGGCGGGACACGUGGUAUCCUGUCUGAAUAUGGGGGGACCAUCCUCCAAGGCUAAAUACUCCUGACUGACCGAUAGUGAACCAGUACCGUGAGGGAAAGGCGAAAAGAACCCCGGCGAGGGGAGUGAAAAAGAACCUGAAACCGUGUACGUACAAGCAGUGGGAGCCUCUUAAUGGGGUGACUGCGUACCUUUUGUAUAAUGGGUCAGCGACUUAUAUUCUGUAGCAAGGUUAACCGAAUAGGGGAGCCGAAGGGAAACCGAGUCUUAACUGGGCGUUAAGUUGCAGGGUAUAGACCCGAAACCCGGUGAUCUAGCCAUGGGCAGGUUGAAGGUUGGGUAACACUAACUGGAGGACCGAACCGACUAAUGUUGAAAAAUUAGCGGAUGACUUGUGGCUGGGGGUGAAAGGCCAAUCAAACCGGGAGAUAGCUGGUUCUCCCCGAAAGCUAUUUAGGUAGCGCCUCGUGAAUUCAUCUCCGGGGGUAGAGCACUGUUUCGGCAAGGGGGUCAUCCCGACUUACCAACCCGAUGCAAACUGCGAAUACCGGAGAAUGUUAUCACGGGAGACACACGGCGGGUGCUAACGUCCGUCGUGAAGAGGGAAACAACCCAGACCGCCAGCUAAGGUCCCAAAGUCAUGGUUAAGUGGGAAACGAUGUGGGAAGGCCCAGACAGCCAGGAUGUUGGCUUAGAAGCAGCCAUCAUUUAAAGAAAGCGUAAUAGCUCACUGGUCGAGUCGGCCUGCGCGGAAGAUGUAACGGGGCUAAACCAUGCACCGAAGCUGCGGCAGCGACACUAUGUGUUGUUGGGUAGGGGAGCGUUCUGUAAGCCUGUGAAGGUGGCCUGUGAGGGUUGCUGGAGGUAUCAGAAGUGCGAAUGCUGACAUAAGUAACGAUAAAGCGGGUGAAAAGCCCGCUCGCCGGAAGACCAAGGGUUCCUGUCCAACGUUAAUCGGGGCAGGGUGAGUCGACCCCUAAGGCGAGGCCGAAAGGCGUAGUCGAUGGGAAACAGGUUAAUAUUCCUGUACUUGGUGUUACUGCGAAGGGGGGAGGAUUACUGCGAAGGGGGGACGGAGAAGGCUAUGUUGGCCGGGCGACGGUUGUCCCGGUUUAAGCGUGUAGGCUGGUUUUCCAGGCAAAUCCGGAAAACCAAGGCUGAGGCGUGAUGACGAGGCACUACGGUGCUGAAGCGACAAAUGCCCUGCUUCCAGGAAAAGCCUCUAAGCAUCAGGUAACAUCAAAUCGUACCCCAAACCGACACAGGUGGUCAGGUAGAGAAUACCAAGGCGCUUGAGAGAACUCGGGUGAAGGAACUAGGCAAAAUGGUGCCGUAACUUCGGGAGAAGGCACGCUGAUAUGUAGGUGAAGCGACUUGCUCGUGGAGCUGAAAUCAGUCGAAGAUACCAGCUGGCUGCAACUGUUUAUUAAAAACACAGCACUGUGCAAACACGAAAGUGGACGUAUACGGUGUGACGCCUGCCCGGUGCCGGAAGGUUAAUUGAUGGGGUUAGCGGCAACGCGAAGCUCUUGAUCGAAGCCCCGGUAAACGGCGGCCGUAACUAUAACGGUCCUAAGGUAGCGAAAUUCCUUGUCGGGUAAGUUCCGACCUGCACGAAUGGCGUAAUGAUGGCCAGGCUGUCUCCACCCGAGACUCAGUGAAAUUGAACUCGCUGUGAAGAUGCAGUGUACCCGCGGCAAGACGGAAAGACCCCGUGAACCUUUACUAUAGCUUGACACUGAACAUUGAGCCUUGAUGUGUAGGAUAGGUGGGAGGCUUUGAAGUGUGGACGCCAGUCUGCAUGGAGCCGACCUUGAAAUACCACCCUUUAAUGUUUGAUGUUCUAACGUUGGCCCGUAAUCCGGGUUGCGGACAGUGUCUGGUGGGUAGUUUGACUGGGGCGGUCUCCUCCUAAAGAGUAACGGAGGAGCACGAAGGUUGGCUAAUCCUGGUCGGACAUCAGGAGGUUAGUGCAAUGGCAUAAGCCAGCUUGACUGCGAGCGUGACGGCGCGAGCAGGUGCGAAAGCAGGUCAUAGUGAUCCGGUGGUUCUGAAUGGAAGGGCCAUCGCUCAACGGAUAAAAGGUACUCCGGGGAUAACAGGCUGAUACCGCCCAAGAGUUCAUAUCGACGGCGGUGUUUGGCACCUCGAUGUCGGCUCAUCACAUCCUGGGGCUGAAGUAGGUCCCAAGGGUAUGGCUGUUCGCCAUUUAAAGUGGUACGCGAGCUGGGUUUAGAACGUCGUGAGACAGUUCGGUCCCUAUCUGCCGUGGGCGCUGGAGAACUGAGGGGGGCUGCUCCUAGUACGAGAGGACCGGAGUGGACGCAUCACUGGUGUUCGGGUUGUCAUGCCAAUGGCACUGCCCGGUAGCUAAAUGCGGAAGAGAUAAGUGCUGAAAGCAUCUAAGCACGAAACUUGCCCCGAGAUGAGUUCUCCCUGACUCCUUGAGAGUCCUGAAGGAACGUUGAAGACGACGACGUUGAUAGGCCGGGUGUGUAAGCGCAGCGAUGCGUUGAGCUAACCGGUACUAAUGAACCGUGAGGCUUAACC